rnacentral:rRNA from 1 species
AUGGUUACUGAAGAGCCCGAAGCAAAGAAGCAGAUAAAUGAGGAAUGCAUCAUAAACCGCCUCCCAGGAGACCUCAUUGAGCGGAUAUUUUUUAGGCUUCCGGUGAGCACUUUGUUGACGUGCCGCGGCGUCUGCAAGCAGUGGCAGAACUUCAUCCGGGAUCCACAGUUUGCCGCAUCACACCUCCAGCUUGCACCCAGUUAUGCUCUUCUGUUCUUCCCGCAAGGUUUGGUUUCCAGCGUGCUCUACCCUAGUGAUGCUAUCCUAAUUGACGAAGCCUGGUCACCGUCGACAUAUGCGGUGCCAGUGAUUGGUCCUGAUGAUUUCCUUUUUGGUUCAUGCAAUGGCCUUCUUGGGUCAUACACAAAGACAUCAACGAUCAAGAUAGCUAACCUUGCAACUGGUGAAUGUCUACAUCUUGAGAAACCUUCCAAGAAUGUGAAAGGUGAUCACUACUGUUUCUACAGCUUUGGGUUUCAUCCCGUGACAAAAGAAUACAAGAUCACACACUUCCUUGGUGACUGCGUUGAUGGUCGCCCCCAUAAUAAAGACAGGUUCAACAUCAUUCAAGUUUACACGCUUGGUGAUGAGAAAUGGAAAGAUAUCCGCACUCCAGAACCUCUUAGCUUGAUCAGUGUGAGAAACUCUGGAGUUGUCAAUGUUGAUGGCAAAAUGUAUUGGUUAACUGAAGACAUGCUAGUUAGCUGGCAGCAUGCAGUUAUUUCCUUUGAUCUCAGGGAAGAAAGUUUUGCGACGAUACAACUGCCGGCAGAGCGUGAAGAUCAGGAUCGUUAUGGUCCUCGUAAGUUCUGGAUCAGAGAAAUGCAUGGGAAAAUAUGCAUAGUAACUGCUCAACCAAGUCGUUAUGAUCCCAGAGCUCUUCUUGGUGAGCUGCAGAUCUGGACACUUGAGAACACGGUAGAGCAACAAAGGUGGAGCAAGAAGUACAAUAUUAAGAACCCACCAAAUUACAUUCCAGGUCCACAUUCUGUUCACAGGGAUAGGAUCAUGACGCAACUUUACAAUAGCGUGUGUUCAUAUGAGUUGUUUAGUGAAAACUUCGAGAUUGAUUUGAGCAAGAAGUUGAAGCUGUUUGAUUCCAAACCCCGUUGGAUGUACAACAUGCAAUCCUACAUCGUUGUGAAAUCACUUGUAUCUUUAGAUUUAUAUAAAAAGGCUGGCAUUGUGCGCAGACCGAAACAGCAAGUAGGCUGGGAAUUGAAGAAGUGGAAGGCAUGGGAGGGUAAGCGUCGUGAGGCAGAGGAUAUACGGUGCCGUGUCCACAAACAUGAGCAUGCCUUAUUUGGAAACGCAGAAAAAAUGGGUAAAAUGUAUCAGUCUUUGCAGGAUAAGCCACAUGAUGUAGCAGAACGUCUACGCGCAGAACUCAAUCAGGUGUUGCAGGACAUGCCGGAUAGUCCAAGUCAGCCAAAGUCCCCCCGGAGGCUUAAUUGGGUGGAGCAGAAGCAGGACUAUGAGAAGUUGAUGGCCCGUUCAGCGAAACUGAAAGAAAGGGCUCAGGUCAUGAAGCAGGCACAUGAUAACAUCUUGAGUAUCAUUGCAAGUUUUAAGUCGGAUAAGGGUAAAUCUACUGCUGGCGCUUCUUCUUCUUCCAUUGCCCGUCUUGAUGAGAAGAAGGAAGAAGAGAACAUUUAA